UCCCCAUUAACUAGGGCAGUUCCCAGUGACAUUUCUAACACAGGGUAGGGGUUGCGCUCGUUAACCGACUGAACGGGACACCUCACGGCACGAGCUGACGACAACCGUGCAACAUCUGUCACCUAGUUCCUUGCGGCACGGCCCAGUUUCUUGGGCUUUCUAGGGGUGUCAAGCCUUGGUAAGGUUCUUCGCUUAGUAUCGAAUUAAACCACACGCUCCACCGCUUGUGCAGGUCCCCGUCAAUUCCUUUGAGUUUUAAGCUUGCGCUCGUACUCCCCAGGCGGCACACUUACCGCGUUAGCUGCGCUCCAAAGGAGGGUCGAUACUCCCCAAGAGCUAGUGUGCAUCGUUUACGGCGUGGACUAC
rnacentral:misc_RNA from 1 species